AUCGGGUUCCGUCGACAGAGAGACGGUGGUGUGUCACUCAACCACCGGUGAGGGCAAGCUUUCUAACAGCAGUUAGGUGUCUCGAACUGGUUCACGGCGGCGCUUAGGGUUCUGGCGUCCUGCCUCUAUAUUAAGAUUUGGGAAGUUAAUUAUGAAGAGUUGAGAGUGAAUCGGAUCAACAGCCCGUCUCUCUGCAGCCGUAGCAGCAAGCUUUACCAACGAGCCACCGUCGUAAUGUGUGCACCUAUUCGAGGGAACUGGGAGUUGUUGACGGAGCUUGCAAAAAGUUGUCAUAUCGGGAUUAAGAUGGACUUCAUUAGGUACUUGGAUGUCAUUUGCUGCCAAACUAGGAGAUGUUGAUAGUUUAUGGAAGAGGAGAUGUUGAUAGUUUAUAGAAGAUUGAGAAAAUUAAGAUUGGGGCCGAUGAAAAUACACACAAUUGGUAGCGCUUUUUCAUGUGCAAAAGUGAUUACUUCUUGAAUGCAAACCCGAAGAAGCAGCCGCAAUAAUUCAAGCAGUCACUCAGAAAGUACAUACAUUUAGUUUCACGUCUAGAUUUUCAGUUAGAUUUUAGUGAGAUUCAUUUUAUGUAGCUUCGUUUUGUACAUCCUUGAUUUAUAGGUUAGGCGAUGUGACAAUGGAAUGUUAACUUGGGUUUUAUUUUGGGUUUUAUCAAGUAUGAUGCAUAUGGGAUCCCCGCCGCAUUGCGGCGGGUAAUAAAUCUAGUUAUAAUGUCAUUCA
rnacentral:lncRNA from 1 species